CAUGCAAGUCGAGCGGCAGCACAAGGGAGUUUACUUCUGAGGUGGCGAGCGGCGGACGGGUGAGUAAUGCCUAGGGAUCUGCCCAGUCGAGGGGGAUAACAGUUGGAAACGACUGCUAAUACCGCAUACGCCCUACGGGGGAAAGGAGGGGACCUUCGGGCCUUCCGCGAUUGGAUGAACCUAGGUGGGAUUAGCUAGUUGGUGAGGUAAUGGCUCACCAAGGCGACGAUCCCUAGCUGUUCUGAGAGGAUGAUCAGCCACACUGGGACUGAGACACGGCCCAGACUCCUACGGGAGGCAGCAGUGGGUAUUUAUUUGCACAUCGAGGGGAAUCCUUGAUGCAGCCAUGCCGCGUGUGUGAAGAAGGCCUUCGGGUUGUAAAGCACUUUCAGUAGGGAGGAAAAGGGUGAUGUCUUAAUACGCUUCAUUUUGUGACGUUACCUACAGAAGAAGGACCGGGCUAACUCCGUGCCAGCAGCCGCGGUAAUACGGAGGGUCCGAGCGUUAAUCGGAAUUACUGGGCGUAAAGCGUGCGCAGGCGGUUUGUUAAGCGAGAUGUGAAAGCCCUGGGCUCAACCUAGGAAUAGCAUUUCGAACUGGCGAACUAGAGUCUUGUAGAGGGGGGUAGAAUUCCAGGUGUAGCGGUGAAAUGCGUAGAGAUCUGGAGGAAUACCGGUGGCGAAGGCGGCCCCCUGGACAAAGACUGACGCUCAUGCACGAAAGCGUGGGGAGCAAACAGGGAGUAGAUACCCUGGUAGUCCACGCCGUAAACGAUGUCUACUCGGAGUUUGGUGUCUUGAACACUGGGCUCUCACGCUAACACAAUUAAGUAUACCGCCUGGGGAGUACGGCCGCAAGGUUAAAACUCAAAUUAAUUUAACGGGGGCCCGCACCAGCGGUGGAGCAUGUGGUUUAAUUCGAUGCAACGCGAAGAACCUUACCUACUCUUGACAUCCACAGAACUUUCCAGAGAUGGAUUGGUGCCUUCGGGAACUGUGAGACAGGUGCUGCAUGGCUGUCGUCAGCUCGUGUUGUGCAAUGUAAGGGUGUAGUCUCGCACCGAGCGGCGACCCCUAUCCUUAUUUGCCAGCACGUAAUGGUGGGGACGUCCUCAGGAGACUUGCCCAGUGACUACCCGCACGAAGAUAGGGGAGCGAAGGUCAAGUCAUCAUGGCCCUUACGAGUAGGCCUAUCUACACGUGCUACAAUGGCGAGUACAGAGGGUUGCAAAGCCGCGAGGUGGAGCUAAUCUCACAAAGCUCGUCGUAGUCCGGAUUGGAGUCUGCAACUCGACUCCAUGAAGUCGGAAUCGCUAGUAAUCGUGGAUCAGAAUGCCACGGUGAAUACGUUCCCGGGCCUUGUACACACCGCCCGUCACACCAUGGGAGUGGGCUGCAAAAGAAGUGGGUAGUUUAACC
rnacentral:rRNA from 1 species